rnacentral:rRNA from 1 species
UUUCACAUUCCAUAGCCCUGACACCAUCCCAGAAGAGAAGCAGGGUUGGGCCUGGAUAGUUCUUGGAUGAGAGACUGCUGGGAAUACCAGGUGACAC